rnacentral:misc_RNA from 1 species
GGAAGUUCUGAUUUCUUAGCAGUAAAAAGCCUGUUCAUUUUGUGGCCAUGGCAACAAAUGAAAAUCUUCCUCCCAAUGUCAUAAAGCAACUUGCCAAGGAGUUGAAGAAUCUUGAUGAAUCCCCGCCUGAGGGUAUAAAAGUAGGAGUCAAUGAUGAUGACUUUUCAACCAUAUAUGCUGAUAUUGAAGGCCCAGCGGGGACGCCAUAUGAGAAUGGUCUUUUCCGUAUGAAGCUGUUACUGUCUAGUGACUUCCCACACUCUCCACCCAAAGGGUACUUCCUGACAAAGAUUUUCCA